CGGAGGAUCCAAGCGUUAUCCGGAAUCAUUGGGUUUAAAGGGUCUGUAGGCGGUCUUGUAAGUCAGUGGUGAAAGCCCAUCGCUCAACGGUGGAACGGCCAUUGAUACUGCUGGACUUGAAUUAUUGGGAAGCAACUAGAAUAUGUAGUGUAGCGGUGAAAUGCUUAGAGAUUACAUGGAAUACCAAUUGCGAAGGCAGGUUGCUACCAAUGGAUUGACGCUGAUGGACGAAAGCGUGGGUAGCGAACAGGAUUAGAUACCCUGGUAGUCCACGCCGUAAACGAUGGAUACUAGCUGUUGGGCGCAAGUUCAGUGGCUAAGCGAAAGUGAUAAGUAUCCCACUGGGGAGUACGAACGCAAGUUUG
rnacentral:rRNA from 1 species